rnacentral:pre_miRNA from 1 species
UCUUAUGGAUGAGUGAACAAAGUGGUUUCUUGAGAUGGAAACUACUCCUGGUGAAGAGGCUGCGAA